rnacentral:rRNA from 1 species
CUUUCGGGAUCUUGAGAGCGGCGUACGGGUGCGGAACACGUGUGCAACCUGCCUUUAUCUGGGGGAUAGCCUUUCGAAAGGAAGAUUAAUACCCCAUAAUAUGUUGGAUGGCAUCAUUCGACAUUGAAAACUCCGGUGGAUAGAGAUGGGCACGCGCAAGAUUAGAUAGUUGGUGAGGUAACGGCUCACCAAGUCUGCGAUCUUUAGGGGGCCUGAGAGGGUGAUCCCCCACACUGGUACUGAGACACGGACCAGACUCCUACGGGAGGCAGCAGUGAGGAAUAUUGGACAAUGGGUGAGAGCCUGAUCCAGCCAUCCCGCGUGAAGGACGACGGCCCUAUGGGUUGUAAACUUCUUUUGUAUAGGGAUAAACCUACUCUCGUGAGAGUAGCUGAAGGUACUAUACGAAUAAGCACCGGCUAACUCCGUGCCAGCAGCCGCGGUAAUACGGAGGGUGCAAGCGUUAUCCGGAUUUAUUGGGUUUAAAGGGUCCGUAGGCGGAUCUGUAAGUCAGUGGUGAAAUCUCACAGCUUAACUGUGAAACUGCCAUUGAUACUGCAGGUCUUGAGUGUUGUUGAAGUAGCUGGAAUAAGUAGUGUAGCGGUGAAAUGCAUAGAUAUUACUUAGAACACCAAUUGCGAAGGCAGGUUACUAAGCAACAACUGACGCUGAUGGACGAAAGCGUGGGGAGCGAACAGGAUUAGAUACCCUGGUAGUCCACGCCGUAAACGAUGCUAACUCGUUUUUGGGCUUUCGGGUUCAGAGACUAAGCGAAAGUGAUAAGUUAGCCACCUGGGGAGUACGAACGCAAGUUUGAAACUCAAAGGAAUUGACGGGGGCCCGCACAAGCGGUGGAUUAUGUGGUUUAAUUCGAUGAUACGCGAGGAACCUUACCAAGGCUUAAAUGGGAAAUGACAGGUUUAGAAAUAGACUUUUCUUCGGACAUUUUUCAAGGUGCUGCAUGGUUGUCGUCAGCUCGUGCCGUGAGGUGUUAGGUUAAGUCCUGCAACGAGCGCAACCCCUGUCACUAGUUGCCAUCAUUAAGUUGGGGACUCUAGUGAGACUGCCUACGCAAGUAGAGAGGAAGGUGGGGAUGACGUCAAAUCAUCACGGCCCUUACGCCUUGGGCCACACACGUAAUACAAUGGCCGGUACAGAGGGCAGCUACACAGCGAUGUGAUGCAAAUCUCGAAAGCCGGUCUCAGUUCGGAUUGGAGUCUGCAACUCGACUCUAUGAAGCUGGAAUCGCUAGUAAUCGCGCAUCAGCCAUGGCGCGGUGAAUACGUUCCCGGGCCUUGUACACACCGCCCGUCAAGCCAUGGAAGUCUGGGGUACCUGAAGUCGGUGACCGUAA